rnacentral:tRNA from 1 species
GCCCCCGUAGCUUAAAGGAUAGAGCGCUGGUCUUCGGAACCAGACAUAGGGGUUCAAUUCCUCUCGGGGGCG